AUGGCCUGGAUGAUUCUUCUGCUCAGUCUCCUCUCCUAUGAGUCAGGGGUCACUUCUCAGAAUGUGGUGAUUCAAGAAUCGUCAUUGUCCACAAACCCUGGGGGUACAGUUACAUUCACCUGUGGCUCCAGCACUGGGGCUGUCACCACCAGUAAUGAUGCUCGUUGGAUUCAACAGAAGCCCUACCAGAAGCCCUGGGGUCUAAUAGGUGGAACCAGUAAUAGAUAUCCUGAUGUUCCUGCCCGAUUCUCUGGCUCCCUGCUUGGAAACAAGGCAGUGCUCACCAUCACUGGAGCCAAGGAAGAGGACGAGGCUGAGUAUUUCUGUGCUCUGUGGUUCAGCAACCAUUUCCACAAAUCCUCACUAGCCACAACUCAAGAAGGCACAGUUACACUCACCUGUGGCUCCAGCACUGGGGCUGUCACCACCAGUAAUUAUGCUUAUUGGAUUCAACAGAAGCCCUACCAGAAGCCCUGGGGUCUAAUAGGUGGAACCAGUAAUAGAUAUCCUGAUGUUCCUGCCCGAUUCUCUGGCUCCCUGCUUGGAAACAAGGCAGUCCUCACCAUCACUGGAGCCAAGGAAGAGGACGAGGCUGAGUAUUUCUGUGCUCUGUGGUUCAGCAAC